GGGGUUGUGGUUCAGCGGUAGAGCGCACGCCUUGCAUGUGCGAGACCCUGUGUUUGAUCCUCAGCACCACA
rnacentral:tRNA from 1 species